rnacentral:rRNA from 1 species
UGGGGAAUAUUGCACAAUGGGCGCAAGCCUGAUGCAGCCAUGCCGCGUGUAUGAAGAAGGCCUUCGGGUUGUAAAGUACUUUCAGCGGGGAGGAAGGCGAUAAGGUUAAUAACCUUGUCGAUUGACGUUACCCGCAGAAGAAGCACCGGCUAACUCCGUCCCAGCAGCCGCGGUAAUACGGAGGGUGCAAGCGUUAAUCGGAAUUACUGGGCGUAAAGCGCACGCAGGCGGUCUGUCAAGUCGGAUGUGAAAUCCCCGGGCUCAACCUGGGAACUGCAUUCGAAACUGGCAGGCUAGAGUCUUGUAGAGGGGGGUAGAAUUCCAGGUGUAGCGGUGAAAUGCGUAGAGAUCUGGAGGAAUACCGGUGGCGAAGGCGGCCCCCUGGACAAAGACUGACGCUCAGGUGCGAAAGCGUGGGGAGCAAACA